UCAUGGCAUAUUGGUCCUCUCCGCAGCUUGGAUCUGGAAGUUUUUUCAGAAAUCUUCUCACCGAAAUAAAUGGGGCGUGGCAACCAAGCGACGACAGCAGCAGGGACGUUGC
rnacentral:rRNA from 1 species